rfam:Echinicola vietnamensis DSM 17526, complete genome.
GGGGCUGACCGGUUUUGACAGUAGGUGUGAAGACUGGGCUCGCAUGUCGGGUGGAGCAUGUACGCCCGCGAAUAAUUCAUGCGAUCUAUAAUUGGCGAAUCUAAUUACGCCAUGGCUGCCUAAUCAGACCCUCAUAGGGACUGAUACUGCUUAAAGGGUUGAGUUCGCAAGGCGAAUUCCCCAGCCACAUCCCGCGGCGCUCUGUCUUGGCAGCGCUGAUCUUGGGGUGUCGACUUGCCAGGACUAGUAUUGCUGAUGCUAUUAAGGCAGUGCGAAACUCAAAUAGCUAAGCGUGACGGUAGCUGUGUCAUCCAGCGGCCCAACGACGAAAACCCAAUAGAUGACUAAACAUGUAGACGGUACGGUGUUUCCCUAUCUGGACCAGGGUUCGACUCCCUGCAGCUCCACCC